GAUGAAGAACGUAGCGAAAUGCGAUAAGUAAUGUGAAUUGCAGAAUUCAGUGAAUCAUCGAAUCUUUGAACGCACAUUGCGCCCGCCAGUAUUCUGGCGGGCAUGCCUGUUCGAGCGUCAUUUCAACCAUCAAGCCCCCGGCUUGUGUUGGGGACCUGCGGCUGCCGCAGGCCCUGAAAAGCAGUGGCGGGCUCGCUGUCACACCGAGCGUAGUAGCAUACAUCUCGCUCUGGGCGUGCUGCGGGUUCCGGCCGUUAAACCACCUUCAUAACGCAAGGUUGACCUCGGAUCAGGUAGGAAGACCCGCUGAACUUAAGCAUAUCAAUAAGCGGAGGA
rnacentral:misc_RNA from 1 species